AUUGAACGCUGGCGGCAGGCCUAACACAUGCAAGUCGAACGAGUGGCGGACGGGUGCGUAAUGUCUGGGAAACUGCCAGAUGGAGGGGGAUAACUACUGGAAACGGUAGCUAAUACCGCAUACCAUCGGAUGUGACCAGAUGGGAUUAGCGAGUAGGUGGGGUAAUGGCUCACCUAGGCGACGAUCCCUAGCUGGUCUGAGCGGAUGAACAGCCACAGGUGUAUGUCGACACGGUCCAGACUCUUACGUGGGGCAGCAGUGGGUAAUAUUGCACAAUGGGCGCAAUCCGGAUGCAGCCAUGCGGCGUGUAUGAAGAAGGCCUUCGGUUUGUAAAGUACUUUCAGCGGGGAGGCUUUACUCGCAGAAGGAGCACCGGCUAACUCCGUGCCAGAAGACGCUGUAAUAC
rnacentral:rRNA from 1 species